rnacentral:tRNA from 1 species
AUUGGGGUAGUAUAAUAAAAUAUAUCUUGCUUACACCAAAAAGAUGGCUUCAAGCCCCCUAAUACCA